rnacentral:tRNA from 1 species
GGAGACGUGGGUGAGUGGCUCAAACCAGUCCCUUGCUAAGGGUCCGAACCCCAAAAGGGUUCCGAGAGUUCGAAUCUCUCCGUCUCCGCCA